rnacentral:rRNA from 1 species
AUACGGGAGGCAGCAGUGGGGAAUAUUGGACAAUGGGCGCAAGCCUGCAUCCUAGCCAUGCCGCUGUGACGUGAUGACGGCCUUAGGGUUGUAAAGCUCUUUCGCUCGGGACGAUAAUGACGGUACCGAGAUAAGAAGCCCCGGCUAACUUCGUGCCAGCAGCCGCGGUAAUACGAAGGGGGCUAGCGUUGUUCGGAAUUACUGGGCUGUAAAGUCGCGUGUAGGCGGGUCUUUAAGUCAUGGGGUGAAAUGCCAAGGUCAACCUUGGAAACUGCCUUUGAUACUGGGGAUCUUUGAGUCCGGGAGAGGUGAGUGGAACUUGCGAGUGUACAGGUGAAAUUCGGAGAUUUCGGAAUGAACCACCAGUGGCGAAAGGCGGUCAACUUGGCCCGGAACUUGACGGCUGAGAACGCGAAAGCGUGGGGAAGCAAACCAGGAUUAGAUACCCUGGGUAGUCCACGCUGUAAACGAUG